CGGAGGGAGCUAGCGUUGUUCGGAAUUACUGGGCGUAAAGCGCACGUAGGCGGCUUUGUAAGUUAGAGGUGAAAGCCCGGGGCUCAACCCCGGAAUUGCCUUUAAGACUGCAUCGCUUGAAUCCGGGAGAGGUGAGUGGAAUUCCGAGUGUAGAGGUGAAAUUCGUAGAUAUUCGGAAGAACACCAGUGGCGAAGGCGGCUCACUGGACCGGUAUUGACGCUGAGGUGCGAAGGCGUGGGGAGCAAACAGGAUUAGAUACCCUGGUAGUCCACGCCGUAAACGUUGAUAACUAGCUGUCAGGGGCCUCAGGCUUUUGGUGGCGCAGCUAACGCAUUAAGUUAUCCGCCUGGGGAGUACGGCCGCAAGGUUA
rnacentral:rRNA from 1 species